rnacentral:rRNA from 1 species
CUUGCAAACUGGAGAUGGCGACCGGCGCACGGGUGAGUAACACGUAUCCAACCUGCCGAUAACUCGGGGAUAGCCUUUCGAAAGAAAGAUUAAUACCCGAUGGCAUAAUAGAACCGCAUGGUUUGAUUAUUAAAGAAUUUCGGUUAUCGAUGGGGAUGCGUUCCAUUAGGCAGUUGGUGGGGUAACGGCCCACCAAACCUUCGAUGGAUAGGGGUUCUGAGAGGAAGGUCCCCCACAUUGGAACUGAGACACGGUCCAAACUCCUACGGGAGGCCAGCAUG